UAUGCAAAUUGCCAUCAAGCAUGUGAAUCAUACCCACCCGUCUCACUGAGCAGUUAUAAAGUGUGCAAAUCCUACAAGAGAGCACAGAGAGGGAUCUUUUUGUCCAGGACACAGGACUUCCUCGCAUCAGCACAGAUCAAACAAACUAAACUGGAAACUCAUCAGGGAUCACAGCCGAUGAUGGCACUCUCUUUUAACAUCUCUAACUGCAGAAGAGGCAACUGAUUUCCUGAACCUCGACCAAUCCUUGAUAAGAAAUGAAGAAAGUGGGAAAAGAUAAAAAGAUGAAGCACUAUAAGAAGACUGUUGAUCAGGAAAUGAUAGAUUUAUUCCAUCAUUAUAAAAAGCCAGAACCAGAUCACAGUGAGCCUUCCACAGAUCCAGUUGUUGGUAUUGCCUCACUACCUACACCCUGGCUCUACAGAAUUUGGGAUAUUAAUCAGAAG